rnacentral:lncRNA from 1 species
UACAACCUCACUGCAUCCCUUUGCCUCGGACGCGCCAGAAAUCGCCUUCGGCGGCGGCGGAGGUCGUACCAUCACCAAAAUUACACCGUUAAAACCGUCUUUCCACCCUCAAUCCCGAUACAACCUUGAUUUUAAAUGACUCUCAACCACCACUUCAAAUUGAAACGAAAGGACUAUGAACCCUAAUUUUCCCAACCUAAAUUAAAUGAUGAACACAUGCUAAUCCAGUCUCAAAUCUUAGGGUUAAAGUUCCUCAGGGUGAAUGCUACAAGAUGCUAGCAAGAUUAGGAUAAAAAGAGAAGGAAUCAGAUACCUCAGAAGCGAAUGUUGAUUAGAUUAUAGGGAUUUAGGGUUAAUUUCCUUUUCAUUAUGUGUUUUGUUGGUUAGUGUAAGGAGUUAGAAAAAUUGGAAAUUAAUUGAAAACGAAAUAGUGCAGUGAAGUAUUAUUUCAUUUCUGUUAAAGCAGUCCGUGAUAGUUAGUUAGAUUGAAAGAAAAAAAAUGUUAGAUUCAGUUGAAGGUAGUUAAUACGUAUUGUUGCAAUCAGUUUAAUGCCUGCUUGCGACUAUGUGAUUGAAUGGUGAAUUGGGAUAUUGAAAGUAUGUUGUUGCUGCAGAGCUAGACUUGAAAUUCAGUGGUGAUACGUAUUGUUAGCUAUUUCCCUCCAUUGAUAUAUCAUAUUAGGCUUAAAUUUAUGUCAGUUAGAAAUUGGGUGAAUGCUUGCAGGUAGGCUGUUAGCAUCUAUUUGAAUUAUUAGCAUAAUGGACUGUUAGCACCUGUUUUGCAUGUCCUUAACCUUUGGCUUGAACUGUGACUGUUGGUGUUGAUGUUAAAGUUCUGUUAAACGUAUUGGUGAAUUUCUGUUAGGUUAGAUUUGCUUGAAUCAUUUCUGUUAAAUGCAAGUCAAACUGUUUGUUAAUGACUAUCUGUUAUUUAGUGAAUGAAACAUAAAAAACCAAAUCUAUUGACUCAAUGGUCUUGGAGUGUGUAUGAUGUCUUUCUUGAGUAGUACAUAUGCAUGUUGUUAUGAAUGUUACCUAUGCGUGAAUGCAAUGGUUUGAAUUGAUUUUAGUAUGGGCUCAUGUAUGCAUGUUUGUAUGAAAUGCCUUGUAUUCUUGAAAAAUUCAUGUGUGUGGGCUAAAUGAUGUAAGGCUGGCCUGGCAAAGUUGCAAGGCAAGUGAGCAUUCAUGGCAUGGCAAGAAGCAAACUUGGUGCAAAGUUGAGUCUUCUUGCUCAUGAAGCAAAUGGAUGAUGGAAUUACAUGGAAGAAUGAAGAAUGAAGCUACAAAUAGCAUUGGGGUUUAGGUCAUGGAAAAAGAGGUUGG